GCCUCACGGGAACUAGUACCCGGGACAGAUGAACAAAACAUUAUAGGGUGCAAGUGGGUGUUCAGGAUUAAAUAGAAAACUGAUGGUAGUAUCGAUCGCUACAAAGCGAGACUCGUUGCCAAAGGGUAUCAUCAACAUCCCAGGAUAGAUUACAUUGAAACAUUUUCGCUGGUCAUUAAGCCAAUCACCCGACGGGUCAUUCUCUCCAUAGUUGUCUCUCUUGACGGGGAAAUACUUCAACUUGAUGUUUCUAACACUUUUCUACAUGGGGACUUAGGAAACACUGUGUUUAUGGCCCAACCAUCAGGAUAUGUUGACAAAGACUGCCCAAAUCACGUGUGCAAACUUCGGCGGUCCCUUUAUGGCCUCAAACAGGCGCCACGCCUAUGGUACAUGAAGCUGACAUAGGUCUUGAGACAGCUAGGAUUCAUUGCCUCUAAAGCCGACAUUUCAUCGUUUCAUUACACUAAAGGUACCACAAAAGCUUUUGUUCAAUUACUCGACAUGGAUGAUAUUUUACUCAAAGCUAAUGACACCAAGUAUCUCCAUGAGGUAAUUUCCUCUCUGCAAAAGCAUUUUAGGGUGAAAGAUCUCGGCUCCCUCGAUUAUAUUAUUGGGAUUGAGGCUACUAGAAGUAGUGCAGGACUUCAUCUUCACCAAAGUAAUAUGUAGUCGAUAUUUUGUCCAAGGCCGUGAUGUCCACUUGUAAUGGCAUCUCAACUCCAGCUUGUACCAAUAAAAAGU
rnacentral:misc_RNA from 1 species